GGCGUGCUAACCAUGCAAGUCGAACGGUGACGAGGAGCUUGCUCCUCUAUCAGUGGCGAACGGGUGAGUAACACGUGAGCAACCUGCCCCAGACUCUGGGAUAACAGUUGGAAACAGCUGCUAAUACCGGAUACGAGACGGAGAGGCAUCUCUACCGUCUGGAAAGUUUUUCGGUCUGGGAUGGACUCGCGGCCUAUCAGCUAGUUGGUGAGGUAAUGGCUCACCAAGGCGACGACGGGUAGCCGGCCUGAGAGGGCGACCGGCCACACUGGGACUGAGACACGGCCCAACUCCUACGGGAGGCAGCAGUGGGGAAUAUUGCACAAUGGGCGAAAGCCUGAUGCAGCGACGCCGCGUGAGGGAUGAAGGCCUUCGGGUUGUAAACCUCUUUCAGCAGGGAAGAAGCGAAAGUGACGGUACCUGCAGAAGAAGCACCGGCUAACUACGUGCCAGCAGCCGCGGUAAUCGUAGGGUGCGAGCGUUGUCCGGAAUUAUUGGGCGUAAAGAGCUUGUAGGCGGUUUGUCGCGUCUGCAGUGAAAAUCCGGGGCUCAACCCCGGACUUGCUGUGGGUGCGGGCAGACUAAGUAUGGUAGGGGAGACCGGAAUUCCUGGUGUAGCGGUGGAAUGCGCAGAUAUCGGAGGAACACCGAUGGCGAAGGCAGGUCUCUGGGCCAUAACUGACGCUGAGAAGCGAAAGCAUGGGGAGCGAACAGGAUUAGAUACCCUGGUAGUCCAUGCCGUAAACGUUGGGCGCUAGGUGUGGGACUCAUUCCACGAGUUCCGUGCCGCAGCUAACGCAUUAAGCGCCCCGCCUGGGGAGUACGGCCGCAAGGCUAAAACUCAAAGGAAUUGACGGGGGCCCGCACAAGCGGCGGAGCAUGCGGAUUAAUUCGAUGCAACGCGAAGAACCUUACCAAGGCUUGACAUAUACCGGAAACAUCCAGAGAUGGGUGCCCCGCAA
rnacentral:rRNA from 1 species